GUUGGUUCUACCUGAAGGCGGUGCGCCAACCCGCGAGGGGGGCAGCCGACCACGGUAGGGUCAGCGACUGGGGUGAAGUCGUAACAAGGUAGCCGUAGGUGAACCUGCAGAAGGAUCA
rnacentral:rRNA from 1 species